rnacentral:lncRNA from 1 species
UGUCAGUGCCUUGUUUUAAAUGUUGCAACUUUUUAAUCAUGCCACGAGUAUAAUAAACAUCAACGAAUCUAUCUCUCAUGACAAGUUUUAAAUCAUUCCAAGUAGUAGGUAUAAAAUCAAGGUUUAACCGACAAUAUUCACUCCACCAAACUAAACCAAAGCUACUGAAAUUACUAUCCGCAACUUAAAAUUUUCCACGCUCAUCAAAAUCAUGGGAAGAAAAUAUAGAAUUUAUUCCGUACUCCCCACAUAGAUUAGGCCUAAAACGACCAGUAAAUGGUGGCAUGGAAACAUUAACCUGAUUAUGUGCAUUAUGAUGUUGUCCCUCCUCUUGUGUCGGUUGUUGUAUUUUCUUAGGUGGUGGCAAAUCUCCCACGAUCGAUGAAGCCCAAGAACUAAUAACUCCGGAACCUGCCAUAGUUAGUAGAAAACAAGAAACAAAAUCCGAGAAUAAUGUUCCUAUGAACUACUAGGAUGUGGUGAUAAACGCUCACAGUAUAGCAAAUAUCAAUAUCUUACAAGUUCUUACCAUGCAGCAGGUGACAGGCAACCAGUGGUGUCAAAUAACUCCGAAGAUUGAGUAAAGCGAUUGCCAAGGGAACGUACGUAUACACGAUGUAGAAAUAUGUGGAGCAUGGAAGGCUUAAAUAUUUGGUAGCAAAAGAUUAUCAAUUCAGAGAUGCAAUGUUGAAUAAACACUCAACGAUGAUAUUGUGCUGGUACUAGGCUAGACCGAACUAGAGACGCGAGCCUAGAAUACUAAUGAGGUCACAGCGUAGCACAACUAGCAUCAAUAAAGGAUAUGAAGUAGCUCUGGACAGUAAGAUAAAAGUGAAUACCACAAUAGCAGUAAAGAUAAUGAUGUGAAAUAAUUGCCAAGCAAGAUAUACCAACAACUUUCUCUCCAACUUUCCUCUGGAAAAGUUUUUGCCAAUUUUUUGAUAAUUUUUCUCAAGAAUGGCACGGACUCAAGCUUUCAGACUCAAAAAGAAUCACUCAAUUCCGAGUUGAUAUGGGGAGUCAAAAAAUUCUGAAGCUGGCUUGAAAAACUGGAACAAGCUGUGGUCGCGAACUUCAGAGGGAAAAAAGACCUAUUUAGAAGUCGAUGUUUAGGUGUCAAAUAUUGAACUAGCUUUUGCAACUAUUUAGAUGCGGCUUGUCUGUGGCUUUAAUUUGAGUACUCACGUAGCCAAAUGGACUUUGUAUGAGGAAGAUAUGCCUGUUUUACUGAACAGUGCACAAAACAGGUUCCAAUCUGAAUUCAGCUACGAGAUUGACUCUAGAUAGAUCUGAAUUUUGUUUUUUUUUCUUCUCUCUUUUUUCCUCACACUUUUUUCUUUUUCUUUCUCUCCCUUUUUUCUCUGACUUUUUUUUUACCUUUUUCUCUUUUUUUCUCUGUCUUUUUUGUUCUCCCUCCCUCUUUAAAAAAAACUAGAUAAGAUACAGAUUGGAUCAAGCGAAGAUGUGUACGACCUCAACUAUGAUUAUGACAAUGAAUGGUGGGUAGAAUGUGGUGGAAAUUGAUGGAUGAGAUGGUGGAUAGUGGAAGGAAUAAUGAUGCAGUGGCGGCGUGACUAAUGUGAACAGAACUCGAAACUCUAAACGAACUAGACACUAAGACCGGCAACUCGACACGAAGAUGCAACCGAUAAUUCAAUAAUGCAAAAAAUAAAAAAUAAAAUUGCAAAGGCUCAGACUAGCUUGGACAAAGGAUGAAUAGAUCUAACUUUAUUUGUGGCAUUUUCUUGGACAAUAGGUAAGAAAAAUUAAAUCUAAUCUAGGGAAAACAGAAAACUCUCAUCGAGCAACCUGGCUCUGAUACCACUUGAUAGAGGCGAGGGUGUCCUGAUCUUUCGAUGAGAUGAUAACUAUCAAUUUUGAUGAGGACAUCAAUACCAUUGUUACACCCACAGCCCCUGCUGCUAUACAUACUGGACCAAUUACUAGAGCUCGCGCACGCCAAUUGAAUUAUCAGGUACUUUCGUUUCUUGGUAACGAUUCUAAUGUUCAUGAGAAUAUGAUGCUGCCUAAAUUGGAUACAUUUGUUUUGCUUACAAAUGAAGGGCCUAGCUUGGACAAGAAAGAUGAACCUUGAAGCAAGUUCAAGCAUGGAGAGGAUGGCAUGCGCAAGGGGAACAAGAACGAAGUUACAAGUGAUGAUUCCAGGACUCUGAAGCCACCAUAAUGAGUGCAUGAAGCAUGGGACGAAAUAUACAAAAUGCCACUUCAUAAAUUUCGUCCACAGGCUAUUUUAGGUGCUGCGUCACCAUAUUAUUGGGCCAGACCCAUGUAUUUUUGAAGUACUUAAGUAUAGGCUAUUUUUAGAGUCCGUAUGUGUGGGGAAACCAGAGUUAGGGUUGGUUUCGGACCCCUCCACCAAGGGCAACGAAAUUCCCCCUCUCUCCUCCAUAUAUACAGCCCUUAGGGCAUCGUUUAGACUGUGGGUUUUGUUUAGAUUAAAAGUUCGCCAUAGCUGCAACUUCGCGUACUUCGUUUGUGUCCAACGACCAGACCAAGACGUCAGAGAACCCCACCUUGAUGAAUAAAGCUUUCAUCUUAUAUUCGCAAUAUCCAGAUUGCAAUCUCAGUUUCUUGCUUGUUCUUCGUUUGCUCGCAGGAAACAGACCCUCGUGGUCAGGUUGAUCGUGCUCCGGCGUGGUCAAUAACCCUCGGAAGUUGGUUUAGCGAUUGCUAAGGCGCGACGUCUCGCACGUUCGUAGUCGGAUCGUCAAGGUCGACUCCCACAGAAAACGAUAGUCACCAUCUCAUCGAAACAUCGGGACACCUUCGCCUCUAUCAGAUUUGGUGGAGAUGACUUUGACGAUCCGACUAAAAACAUGCACGAUGUUGCGCCUUAGCAAUCACUAAACCAAUCUCCCAAGGUUACUAAUGAUGCUAGAAGCACGAUCAGCCUGGCCACGAAGGUCUAUUCCUGCAUGCAAUCGAAGAACAAGCAAGGAUAUGAUAAUGCAAUCUGAAUAUUGCGAAUAUAGAUGAAGUAUUGAUAAAUGUGGGGAUUCGAAAGUAGCCUUGGUCUGGUCGUUGGACACAAACGAAGUACGCGAAGUUGCAAUGACUAACUUUUAACUAAACAAAUCCCAAGGAAAAAUCUACUAGAUGAAUCUACUUAUAUAGGAGCAAGGGGUGGCGGCCAAGGAGGUGGGAGGAUGUCCCGAGGCAGCCUAAAACUAACCCUAGGUCAUACAAGGCUCAUGGAUCCAAGUGGAGGUGAUGCAACACCUUUGGACUUGUAGUUUGACUCGGAUUCUGCUGCAGCGUCAGAUUGUUUCAUCGAUAACUCCACGUUCUGGAUGAAUUUGAAGGUGAAUUCAACUGGGUUGGAAAGAGCACGAAAUCUACUUUCCAGCAAAAAAAGAAUCACCCAAUUCGGAGUCCAUGUGAAAGAGUACUUGACGUUUUGAGUCAGGUAUGUUUGUGUUGGGGAACGUAGCAGAAAUUCAAAAUUUUCCUACGUGUCACCAAGAUCUAUCUAUGGAGAGACCAGCAACGAGUAGAAGGAGAGUGCAUCUACAUACCCUUGUAGAUCGCUAAGCGGAAACGUUCAAGUGAACGGGGUUGAUGGAGUCGUUCUCGUCGUGAUUCAAAUCAUCGAUGAUCAAGUGCCGAACGGACGGCACCUCCGCGUUCAACACACGUACAGCCCGGUGACGUCUCCCACGCCUUGAUCCAGCAAGGAGAGAGGGAGAGGUUGAGGAAGACUCCAUCCAACAGAAGCACAACGGCGUGGUGGUGAUGGAGGAGCGUGGCAAUCCAGCAGGGCUUCGCCAAGCACCAUGGGAGAGGAGGAGUAGGGAGAGAGGUAGGGCUGCACCAAGAGGGAUAGAACUCAUGUGUAUGGCAGCCCCAAACCUCAUCUAUAUAUAGGGGGAAGGGGGGGCUGCGCCCCCUUUAGGGUUUCCCACCCCCAAGGGGUGCGGCCAGCCCUAGAUGGCAAAGGGGAGGCGGCCAAGGGGGGAGAGGAGAGGGAGGCGCACCAAUAUGGGCCUUAAGGCCCAUCUGGACUAGGGUUUGCCCCCUCCCACUCUCCCUUGCGCCUUGCACCCUUGUGGGGGGCGCACCAGCCCUCCUAGGGGCUGGUCCCCUCCCACACUUGGCCCACGCAACCUUCUGGGGCAGGUGGCCCCACUUGGUGGACCCCCGGGACCCUCCCGGUGGUCCCGGUACAUUACCGAUAUCGCCCGAAACUUUUCCGGUGACCAAAACAGGACUUCCCAUAUAUAAAUCUUUACCUCCGGACCAUUCCGGAACUCCACGUGACGUCCGGGAUCUCAUCCGGGACUCCGAACAACAUUCGGUAACCACAUACAAACUUCCUUUAUAACCCUAGCGUCAUCGAACCUUAAGUGUGUAGACCCUACGGGUUCGGGAGACAUGCAGACAUGACCGAGACGUUCUCCGGUCAAUAACCAACAGCGGGAUCUGGAUACCCAUGAUGGCUCCCACAUGUUCCACGAUGAUCUCAUCGGAUGAACCACGAUGUCAAGGACUUAAUCAAUCCCGUAUUCAAUUCCCUUUGUCUAGCGGUAUUGUACUUGCCCGAGAUUCGAUCGUCGGUAUACCGAUACCUUGUUCAAUCUCGUUACCGGCAAGUCUCUUUACUCGUUCCAUAACACAUCAUCCCGUGAUCAAUCCCUUGGUCACAUUGUGCACAUUAUGAUGAUGUCCUACUGAGUGGGCCCAGAGAUACCUCUCCGUUUACACGGAGUGACAGAUCCCAGUCUCGAUCCGCAUAAAACAAUAGAUACUUUCGAAGAUACCUGUAGUGCACCUUUAUAGUCACCCAGUUACGUUGUGACGUUUGAUACACCCAAAGCACUCCUACGGUAUCCAGGAGUUACACGCUCUCAUGGUCGAAGGAAGAGAUACUUGACAUUGGCAAAGCUCUAGCAAAUGAACUACAUGAUCUUUUGUGCUAGUCUUAGGAUUGGGUCUUGUCCAUCACAUCAUUCUCCUAAUGAUGUGAUCCCAUUAUCAACGACAUCCAAUGUCCAUAGCCAGGAAACCAUGACUAUCUGUUGAUCACAACGAGCUAGUCAACUAGAGGCUCACUAGGGACAUAUUGUGGUCUAUGUAUUCACACGUGUAUUACGAUUUCCGGAUAAUACAGUUAUAGCAUGAAUAAAAGACUAUUGUCAUGAACAAAGAAAUAUAAUAAUAACNNNNNNNNNNNNNNNNNNNNNNNNNNNNNNNNNNNNNNNNNNNNNNNNNNNNNNNNNNNNNNNNNNNNNNNNNNNNNNNNNNNNNNNNNNNNNNNNNNNNAGGGAGAGAGGUAGGGCUGCACCAAGAGGGAUAGAACUCAUGUGUAUGGCAGCCCCAAACCUCAUCUAUAUAUAGGGGGAAGGGGGGGCUGCGCCCCCUUUAGGGUUUCCCACCCCCAAGGGGUGCGGCCAGCCCUAGAUGGCAAAGGGGAGGCGGCCAAGGGGGGAGAGGAGAGGGAGGCGCACCAAUAUGGGCCUUAAGGCCCAUCUGGACUAGGGUUUGCCCCCUCCCACUCUCCCUUGCGCCUUGCACCCUUGUGGGGGGCGCACCAGCCCUCCUAGGGGAUGGUCCCCUCCCACACUUGGCCCACGCAACCUUCUGGGGCAGGUGGCCCCACUUGGUGGACCCCCGGGACCCUCCCGGUGGUCCCGGUACAUUACCGAUAUCGCCCGAAACUUUUCCGGUGACCAAAACAGGACUUCCCAUAUAUAAAUCUUUACCUCCGGACCAUUCCAGAACUCCUCGUGACGUCCGGGAUCUCAUCCGGGACUCUGAACAACAUUCGGUAACCACAUACAAACUUCCUUUAUAACCCUAGCAUCAUCGAACCUUAAGUGUGUAGACCCUACGGGUUCGGGAGACAUGCAGACAUGACCGAGACGUUCUCCGGUCAAUAACCAACAACGGGAUCUGGAUACCCAUGAUGGCUCCCACAUGUUCCACGAUGAUCUCAUCGGAUGAACCACGAUGUCAAGGACUUAAUCAAUCCCGUAUUCAAUUCCCUUUGUCUAGCGGUAUUGUACUUGCCCGAGAUUCAAUCGUCGGUAUACCGAUACCUUGUUCAAUCUCGUUACCGGCAAGUCUCUUUACUCGUUCCGUAACACAUCAUCCCAUGAUCAACCCCUUGGUCACAUUGUGCACAUUAUGAUGAUGUCCUACCGAGUGGGCCCAGAGAUACCUCUCCGUUUACACGGAGUGACAAAUCCCAGUCUCGAUCCGCAUAAAACAAUAGAUACUUUCGGAGAUACCUGUAGUGCACCUUUAUAGUCACCCAGUUACGUUGUGACGUUUGAUACACCCAAAGCACUCCUACGGUAUCCAGGAGUUACACGCUCUCAUGGUCGAAGGAAGAGAUACUUGACAUUGGCAAAGCUCUAGCAAAUGAACUACACGAUCUUUUGUGCUAGUCUUAGGAUUGGGUCUUGUCCAUCACAUCAUUCUCCUAAUGAUGUGAUCCCGUUAUCAACGACAUCCAAUGUCCAUAGCCAGGAAACCAUGACUAUCUGUUGAUCACAACGAGCUAGUCAACUAGAGGCUCACUAGGGACAUAUUGUGGUCUAUGUAUUCACACGUGUAUUAUGAUUUCCGGAUAAUACAGUUAUAGCAUGAAUAAAGACUAUUAUCAUGAACAAAGAAAUAUAAUAAUAACACUUUUAUUAUUGCCUCUAGGGCAUAUUUCCAACAGUUUGUGCAGUCCGAAUCUGAAUUCAGAACGUGAGAGACUUAGACUCUAUCUUCUCUUGGCCCAAACGUGACGUGAGAUGACUUUUUGAACAACUCCUAAACUUCUCCUCUUCCCUUAUUUUAAUAUGUGGAUUGUAAAAAUGUCCCAUACACCUGCAAUUAGACAUGGCACAAAAGUCUAUGAAGUAUUAUUGUCCUGGAUGACAUAAAUAAAUUGUUACAUAGUUUGCAUUAGAAAUCACCUCACAAAUAUACAUGUAUGCAAUAUUUUUGGUCAUAUCCAAGGUAGUCAUGUCCUCAUCAACCUUGCUCUGCACGUAAGCAGGUUGAUCCAUUCCGGCUUGAUGUGCUGCUAUGUAAGUAGUUAAACACAUAAAACACAUUCUUUGCGCGCAAACAUCGCUGGUAUGCGUCGGUCCUAAACAAAUGGUUUUUAACCCCUUUUUGCGAUGGCAUUCGGAACCAUCGCCAAGUGAGUGUGGGUGAUAGGGGGGUCCUUCCCACACGACCCAGAAACCGUUGGGGAUAUGCCCUCCUGGCACACACGCUCGGCAAAAUGAGGUCGUGUGCGACCGGCGAGCACUCAAAUAUAGAAAUACAUACAUUAGUGCUAAAAAAUACAAUUUUACCAAACGUUAACUGAGCACCACAUUCCACAAUAUAACAUACUCCUAAUAGAAGAUCAGACAGUUAACCAAACAAAUCAUGCUUAACAACUUGAAAAUAUAGCAAUUGUAUUUGUUUCUCAUGUAUUUAGUACAACCAAAUUCGAUUUAUUCCUCACAUGGUAUACAAUAACAGAAUGCGGCCACAACAAUUGAACAUCGCAUUGCAGAAUUGAACCAAGCAGUUAACUAAACACCACAACAAGUGAACCAAGCCACAACAAAUGAACCAAGAAGUUAACUAAACACCAAUUGAACAAUAUAACAUACUCCUAAUAGAAGAUCAGACAGUUAACCAAACCAAGCAUGCUUAACAACUUGGAAAUAUUGCACCCUGAAGAAUUGAACAUCACAUUUGCAGAAUUGAAUCAAACAGCUAAUUGAACACCACAUUGCACGACAUAUAGAACAUAUACACUAUAGCAAAAGAUUGCAUGGUAAAAGUAGAUAGCACAAUUCACUAGAAUUUGUUAUGGAAAGGCAGUAGCUAGCAAACUGAACAUGGGUCCUUAUAGUGAGCUAAUAAGACAAGCUACUCCUCAUUGUCGGAGAUAUCGAUGACGAUUGGCUCCUUGGACAUGGAAGAGGGCGAGGCCUCCGCAUCAUGGGUGCCCUCGUUGUAGUGGUGAGUUGCCUGAGCCGCUCCGGGCACCAACCUACUAGCUCUCGAGAUGAGUAAGCACGUGCAUGCUGAGAAAACACCUCGUAGUCUUAUCGAAGGCACCGACGGUGGCCUCGAGAAAACGCCACGAACUGUCGUUUAAAGCAGCCAACCGCGUCGCAGUGUCGGCGCGUGAGGCGUCAAAGGUAGCCUCGACGGCGAGGUGCUCCUCCAAGAUCUAGGGGUCGGCACGAAUGGCAGCCAUCGCGACCUCAUCCACGCGUGCGGCUGCGAUUUGCUUCUCCCCUACCGAAUGCUCCUUGAGGUCCUGGCUAUACUGCGUGCACCAUGUCUUAGGCCGACGCUUAUUUGGUGGAAGGGUCGAUGAUUUGGGUGGAAGGUGUCACGCUCACGACGGCGGUCGGGACAUGUGGGAUGUGGAAGGAGGAGGAGGAUGGGGGUCGGGUGUGGAUUACCUGCCUAGAUAGGCGAGGCCGAGCAGCGUGAAGGAGGGUCGCCGACGAGGAGGCGGCGACGCUGCAAGCAAGGAGUGAAGGUUUCAACAUGGAAAGGAAGGCGAAAACAGGGGAAAUGUGGCUUCUCGUAAGGGGAAGGGGGCGGGAAGGUAGAUAUUUCGCGGAAGCCGAAAAUUUAGAAUCGCUUCAGCCAAAAAACUGGCACGCAAAGUGUCACCAGACACGGUCCCUAAUUCAGAGCGGGCUGUGGACUGUAGUCGUCGCACCUUCUCGCAUAAGUCGUAUGCGUACUAUACUCUGACGGUGCUCCAAGAUAUUUUGUGUUGCAUCUCACACGGUUGGUUAUAAUAAACAGUGUGGGAUCUACUUGAUUUUUCGUCUUGAUUUGAAUUACAUAAUGGGGUCACAGCGGCCAUGGACGGUGUUUGAAUUGCUAGACCUUUUAUCUGCAGUGAUCAUGCAACUAUAUGUGUGUCAUAAAAGAAUUGGAAUUAUUUAAGGUUCGUUUGGACAUCUUUAUGCAUUAAGUGAGUUUUCAAUGUAUUUAUGUGCAUAAUUCAAAUUUGAACUACAUGCACAUGCUCCAAUGCAUAUAAAUUGGUUGAAAAAUCAAAUCUUUGUCCUUGGGUGCAUGCUUAGGUCUCAUGCAAGAAAUGGGAAUGAUUUUCAAACACCAGGGCACUGUUGAAAAACAUUGAGAUGCUUGGUUUUUAAAUUCUAAUAAAUCCAAAACUCGUCUAAAAUUCAUGAAACUUGGCAUGCUAUCAUGGAGCGGCAUCAACAUGCUGUGGUAAAUUUUGUGUCCCGUUUGGGGCAGGUUUGGGUAUAUGCUUCUCACAAAACGAGAGCUUCUCACAACAAGCAUGAUGGUUUCGGUAGAGAACGCCCCACCUUUGGGAACAAAACGAUAUCCAUUGCCUCUUAUUGCUUUCAAAAAAAUUCACGUGUCAACAUAGAACAACAUGAGUGUUGUGUUAUUUUUUGUGAUUUUUCGGGGUUUGUUUGGACAUUUUUAUGCAUUAACUGAGUUUUCCAAUGCAUUUAUGUGCAUAUUCAAAUUUAAACUACAUGCACAUGCUCCAGUGCAUAUAAAUUGGUUGAAAAAUCAAAUAUGUGUCCUUGGGUGCAUGCUUAGGUCCCAUGCAAGAAAUGGGAAUGAAUUUCAAACACCAGGGCACCGUUGAUUGCCGGCAAAACAUUGAGGUGUCUGGUUUUUAAUUCUAGUAAAUCCAAAACUCAUCUGAAAUUCAUGAAACUUGGCAUGCUAUCAUGGAGUGGCAUCAACAUGCCGUGGUAAAUUUUUUGUCCCAUUUGGGGCAGGUUUGGGUAUAUACUUCUUACAAACCAGAGCUUCUCACAACAAGCAUGAUGGUUUCGGUAGGGAACGCCCCACCUUUGGGGACGAAACGAUAUCCAUUAUCUCUUAUUGCUUUCAAAAAAUUUCUCGUGUCAACAUAGAACAACAGGAGUGUUGUGUUAUUUUUUGUGAUUUUUCGGGGUUCGUUUGGACAUUUUUAUGCAUUAAUUGAGUUUUCAAUGCAUUUGUGUGCAUAAUUCAAAUUUGAACUACAUGCACAUGCUCCAGUGCAUAUAAAUUGGUUGAAAAAUCAAAUCUGUGUCCUUGGGUGCAUGCUUAGGUCCCAUGUAAGAAAUGGGAAUGAAUUUCAAACACUAGGGCACCGCUGAUUGCCGGCAAAACAUUGAGAUGCCUGGUUCUUAAAUUCUAGUAAAUCCAAAACUCGUCUGAAAUUCAUGAAACUUGGCAUGCUAUCAUGGAGCGGCAUCAACAUGUCAUGGUAAAUUUUUUAUCCCACUUGGGGCAGGUUUAGGAAUAUGCUUCUCACAAACUAGAGCUUCUCACAACAAGUAUGAUGGUUUCAAUAGGGAACAUCCCACCUUUGGGGACGAAACGAUAUCCAUUGCCUCUUAUUGUUUUCAAAUUUUUUCUCGUGUCAACAUAGAAUAACAUGAGUGUUGUGUUAUUUUUUGUGAUUUUUCUGGGUUUGUUUGGACAUUUUUAUGCAUUAAGUGAGUUUUCAAUGUAUUUACGUGCAUAAUUCAAAUUUGAACUACAUGCACAUGCUUCAGUGCAUAUAAAUUGGUUGAGAAAUCAAAUAUGUGUCCUUGGGUGCAUGCUUAGGUCCCAUGCAAGAAAUGGGAAUGAAUUUCAAAUACCAAUGCACCGUUAACUGCUGGCAAAACAUUGAGAUGCCUGGUUUCUAAAUUCUAGUAAAUCCAAAACUCGUCUGAAAUUCAUGAAACUUGGCAUGCUAUCAUGAAGCGGCAUCAAUAUGCCGUGGUAAAGUUUUGUCCCAUUUGGGGCAGGUUUGGGUAUAUGCUUCUCAGAAACCAGAGCUUCUCACAACAAGCAUGAUGGUUUCAAUAGGGAACACCCCACCUUUGGGGACGAAACGAUAUCCAUUGCCUUUCAAAAAAUUUCUCGUGUCAACAUAGAACAACAUGAUUGUUGUGUCAAUUUUUGUGAUUUUUCAGGGUUCGUUUGGACAUUUUUAUGCAUUAAUUGAGUUUUCAAUGCAUUUAUGUGCAUAAUUCAAAUUUGAACUACAUGCACAUGCUCCAGUGCAUAUAAAUUGGUUGAAAAAUCAAAUAUGUCCUUGUGUGCAUGUAAAAAAUGGGAAUUAAUUUCAAACACCAGGGCACCGUUGAUUGCCGGCAAAACGUCGAGAUACUUUGUUUUUAAAUUCUAAUAAAUCUAAAACUCGUCUGAAAUUCAUGAAACCUGGCAUUGCUAUCAUGGAAGGGCACCCGACAUGUUGUGGUAUUUUUCAUGUCCAUUUUGAGAGAAGGCGCACUCGAAUAAUGACAGCCAACAAAGGCAUUUUGAAAAAAUAGCUGCCACUUUAAUAUCUCAAACAUUUGUAUAAUUCAAACCGUGUGCGUACGGUUAGCCAUUCACAUGAUGCCACAUGUCUUGGUUUUAAUGGCUAUAGGAGGUGUCGUGUGGGCAGCUGUUUGACUGGACGAGAGGCGUGCGAGUGCAUCCGGUGCGCAGGCUCACCGGGAAGCGUACAAGCUGUUCAACGCAUGAUCUGUGCAUCUCUUCAACGCAAACAGUUCAGAUUACGGUAUGCAAAUUAAAGCCAGAUUUCGUCUCUAAGCCAAAAGACACUGCGAUUUGUCAAAAUAUGUAGCUAAAAAUCAAUAGCACUAUCUAUUUUUUACCUAAAAUUCAGUAAUUAAGCAUAGAUUUCAUUCAUACUAGAGGUUAAGCAGUCGUUCUCACCGGGAAGCGAGACAUACUUGGACCGCUGCAUGCCUCACUCCCACUAGUCUAUAUUAAUGGCGCCGCCGAGCGGCCGCACCCCCCAUCCUCACCACACACACAAUUCCUCUCUCUACGCCUGCAUCCUUGACGCCGCUCUGAGUCCUUAAAGUCGUCAGUGUACAAGGAUACCGCCGAAGCGCCCCAUCGGAGGGAGUGGUGACGCUGAGGCUGCUGAAGCACCGGAGCAUGGCGUGAAUAUGGAGAUAGAGGUUUCCAUCCCCGCCGACGAGGUGGAGAACGAGGCUGCCAACAAGUGGAGGCGGGUCAAGAAAGAACCGCAAGCGACUCUAGCAGGCCUAGACUUCAUCAACAACCUCCCCGAUGAUAUGUUAAUAGUCAUCAUAUCCCUCCUCCCAAUCAAAUAUCGGGUGAGGACAGCCGCCCUUUCUCGGCGGUGGCGCACCCUAUGGCUCCGCACCCCUGUCGACCUCCUCGACGCCCACAAGCUCUAUCAUGGUUGUCGCCAAAGCUUGGAUGCGUUCUCCCAGAUCCUCGGCAGUCACGAUGGCCCAAUCAAAGGCCUUAUCACGAGCAAGUUCCGUUCCAAUGGCAAGGACAAAGCCAAGCUUGCCGAGUGGUUCCAAUCCCGCGCCAUAGAUUAGCUAAAGAAGCUAAGUUAUAAUGAUGGGCAUAUGCGCUUGCUGCCAACGUCCGCGCUCCGCUUCGCGCCCAUGCUAUGCCUCGCCAAGUUUAUGAGCUGCCACCCCCCUAAUGAUGCGCCCGCUCUUUUUCUACCACGACUGAAGCACCUCGAGCUUGACACCGUCCGCAUCCCAAAGGAUGACAUGGAGCGCCUGCUCCGCGGCUGUACUGCACUCGAGUUCCUUCGUCUUCAGGCGAUGAAUUGGUCGAGUACCUUGCACAUCACCUCCAGGACUCUCCGGACUAUUUAUGUGUGUUGCUGGUGCCGCAACGAGAGAUCAAAAAAGGUGGACCACAAUAUGGUCAUCCAGGACACACCCUCACUUGAGAGAUUACUUGUAGUUGAUCAACAAGGUCCAACAAGAAUCAAUGUCAUUUCUGCACCGAAAUUGAAAGUGGUGGGCUACUCGUCUGUCGAAUACUACAACUUUCAGGCACAACAGUCGCCUUAUAUACCUCUCUUUCUUAAUAUCAACGUUAUUUCGAGUUUUGAAGAUGUAUGUUCGUCUGUCAUCCAGCGAAGCUUCACCCAGACUCUGGGCAUAGUGAAGGUCUUGGCACUAGAAUCUGUCGGCCCCAACCUGGACCAAGUUGGCAGUUGCCUGAGAUGCUUUCCGUGCCUGAAGAAGCUGUAUAUCAACGUGAUGUUCCUUUCCUAUUAAAUGUUAACCAUAAGGGAGUUCAAUUUUUUGCACCUUUUCCCAAGUUUAUAAUGACAAUGUACUAUGAUUUCUGAAGGAAUUUUGGAGGAUUUUAGGACAUACACCCCCACCCCAUAUUGGUUGCGUCAUUCAUAUGGUUACAAUCAUCCAUAAGCAUUUCUCCUUUGGAUUCAUAUGUACAAGUUUUCUUAGGGAAUUUUUCAUCCAAUCCAACCUCUUGUGAAGAAGGCUACAUGUUUCUAGAUUGUAAUCAAAUGCCCAUGUUAAUCAUGCCAGAUUAAAGAUGGCACGUUGGUGCAUUUUACAAAUCUUGCAAACCAAAUGGGCGUGUAGCAGUGUUCAAAACUGCAUGUAGGCACUAACGCGUUCUCUUCUUUUGCACAGGCCCGGAGGUGGAUGAUGUUUAUAACGACAAUCACAUCAAAUGCAUGGAUCUGCAUCUCUCAAAUAUUACUUUGAACUCCUACCGAGGAACCCCAUUGGAGAUUACACUCGCCAGGUUCUUUCUUGCCAGAGCAAAGGUGCUGAGGGUACUGAGGUUGAACACUCAUUUAAUUAGGAAAGAUCAAUGAUAUGAUUAUCAGAGCCGGCUGGUACUUGGAAUGGAAGUGCCUCCAAACAGGGCCGGCCCUGGGGUAUGGCCGAUGGGGCGAUGGCCUAGGGCCCAAGCGAGGAGGGGGCCCAUGCUGGAGUAUAUAUAUACUGUAUAUCCCAACAAAAAACAAGUAAAAAAUUACAAAAGAAUUAAAGAAGGGAAAUAAGAUGGGCUAUGCGACCCAGAUAGUAGCUACCGAUCGCUGAUCGAUUAGCGAACACGAAGCGGCGCCGUGACUCACGCCAGUUGCCAGCAUCAGGCACACGACUGCUGGUUUUCCUAAUUUCCUUCGUAGGUUCGUCGCCCUCGCCCGUGACACCCGUCGGCCUUCUCGCUUGGCGCCUUGCCCCUUGCCACGCCGCCCUCGCCUUGGCCGCCGCUGUCCGCGCCGCCACACAGCAAUCCGGCAUGCGGUAGCCCGGCCAUCCGGCAUCCGGCAAGGCGGUACCGCAACAAUACCUAUACAAGUAUACAUCUGACUGGAAGUCCCGAAGUCUACUCGUUUUCCAUCCAUUUCAUCCAUGUUCCUAUCCAUCCCACCAAACCCCAAAUUUGACAAUUCAGUAGUUUAUUUAUUCUUUAUUUAGUAUCUAUGUAUUAUAAUCCAAUCUAUCAUUUUUUUGUCAUUCUAUAUACAUGUCUAGGGUUCCAAUCAUCCGAUGUAUAAAUUCCUAAUUCUUUGUAUCCUCUUUUGAUCCUUUCUACGUGAUUUUAGGACAUUAGCAUGCCAUGCUACCUAAGAAGAAGCAAUUGCUGGGCGCUGAAAAAAGGAGGAAAAAGAAAGAAAGUGAUCCGAAAAUUCUACCACCGAAGGGUUCGUUGAAUAAGUUCUUUACAUCUUCAAGCUAUGCUGAUGUCGGUGAAGAACAAGGGCAAGAAACUACUCUCGAGCAUGAAAAUUCCGUUCUUAUUUGAGGUAAUCAUGUCAUGUUAGUUUCAUUUUAUGAUCUUUUUAGUAUUAUUGUUUUUGAUUGAGUGAGUUUGAAUUUGGUUAUUAUUGUUCUCGAUGGAGUCAUUUGAACUAUUAUAGUCAUAUUUUAAACUAAAGAUGUGUGAUUGAAAGUUAUUUUUAAUAAGUUAUAACACACACACACACACACACACACACACAUAUAUAUAUAUAUAUAUAUAUAUAUAUAUAUAUGGUCUUAGGACUUAGGACAUAGGGGCCCAUGUCGUCGAGUUUGCCUAGGGCCUUCCGAAACACAGGGCCGGCCCUGCCUCCAAAAAUGCCAAACUUCUUAUUGGAAGAGCAUAUGGCAAAUCAAUUGGAAGUUAUUGUGUCAAAUCCAUACAUGACUUGUCAGUGGCUGAUCCCUUUUCAGAAAUGACGUAGCUUGCAAUGUUUGAAUUUGGGCAUUCUAAUCUUUGAAUUUGAACCUUGCAAUAUUUAUGGUAUUUGUUAUAUUGAACCAUUUUCGUUUUCUUGUCUCAACGCAAACAUUUCAUCCGGGUGAACCGCAUGUCAUAGAUCGCACACACCUUAAUCUGACUGACCGUUUCUUUUGUGUUGCCUAAUCACAAAUAGUUUCUCCGAGUGAACUGUAUGCAGUACAUCGCACACGCCUUGAUCUGGCUGACCAUUUCUUUUGUGUUGCCUAAUCACAAACAGUUCAUCCCAGUGAACUGUAUGCUGUACAUCGCACACACCUUCAUCUGGCUGCCCGUUUAUUUUGUUCCUCCUCAUCGAAAACGGUUAAUUGAACUGAACCGUAUGCCCUGAAUCGCACACGCAACUAAAAUCUGAACCGUGUUUGAUGCAUCCGUCAUCGCAAACAUUUUGCGUCUUUUUGACGGGUUUUUACACCACUGUUUGCGAUUAUUGCAUCGCACACAGUUUCGUCGGAGGGUCUCUCAUCGUAGUGUCGCGUUAGCAACAUCCUGCAGUAGUGCGUAUACCCGUACUAUGACUACGUGGACCACCUGCUGUUCCGGCCGCUCCGGCUGAACAAGGAGGCUGUGGCGUGUCGACUUACAUCAGUGAGCUCUACGAUGUGCACAUCCACCCGGGGACGAUGAUCAUAGAAGUACCAGGCGCUGUUCGACAUGAGCGACGUCUGAGAGCAUACGCCUUGUAACCAACGGGCUUCGGCAUGCUACUGGCCAACCAGGCAAGAAACAAGACACCACCAUGAAAGAUGACGGCAGGUAAAAAUGAUGAAGGAAUGCAUAUAGUCCUGGCCAUGGGCCGCCCGGCCCGACCCGGCCUGAAAAAGCCCGGCCCGACGCUGCUCCCGGGCCGGGCCUGGGCCUAGGUUUUGAGCCCGAAGCCUGGGUCGGGCCGGGCCUGGGCCCGCUGUUUAUGCCAUUUACUGAAGAAGCCCGGCCUGAGGCCCGAGGCCCGAUGUGUUUUUUGCUGUGAUGGGCCGGGCUCGGGCCGGCCGUUGGGGCCUAGUUUUCAGGCCCGGCCCGGCCGUCGGGCCUGAGUUUUCUACCUCGGGCUUGGUCAAGCCCGGCCCGAAGCCCGACCCGGCCCGGAGGAUGGCCAGGUCUAAACGCAUAUGCAUACGCAUCAUCGCAAGUAGAGGCCGGAUUGCUUGCAAAAAAAGAGAGUACUGGCCGGAUAUACAACAGGCCCACAGUCUGUCUAGCGAUCACAUAGUCCUUGAUCCCAUGCCAUGUAAGCAACCUGGUGCCAAACAAGAUAUGAGCAAAAAAAGACCAGGAUUGACCGGAAUUAAAAAGUACAGGGUAAUAAUUUCAGGGAUUUUAAGAUCCUAAAUUUUAAAAAGUGCAUAUGUACUAAUUAAAGAAAACGAGCGGCCGGUCUUACACACGCAUGCAUGUAGUUUUGUGGUCUAAAUUUUGUCUUUAUUCAUGACGUGGCAUGUACUACUAGGAUGGUCGCAUGGACAAGACACCACAUUAUUCCAUGGAUGCGCAUGUCCAUUUAUUCAGGUUUUCAAUUUUUUAAAAAGCCAUAUCUUUUAAACCGUGCUUCGGAAUUUAGAUCCGUUUUCACUAUUGGAAUCCUCGCGACGAGAUCUUUGAAACUAGAUCCCGCAUAGAUAUGUUUUGACAAAAAAAUUUUGAUGCCAACUUUGAUGCUAUAUUGUGCAACUUUAUUACUACAUCGUGCAACUUUUUUUCAAAACUAAUGUUUGGAGCUGCAUCUUCGUAUGAGGUUGCAACCUAGCAACCACGACAAUUUUGAUGUGCAACUAGUCUAUUGCCUCGACGAAAGUCGAUGUACAACCUCCUCUUGUAAUGUAGUCUAGUUGCACACACGUUGAUGUUUAGUUGGCUUGUAAUGUAGUAUAGUUGCACACACAUUGAUGUUUAGUUGGCUUGUAAUGUAGUAUAGUUGCACACACAUUGAUGUUUAGUUGUCUUGUAAUGCAGUCUAGCUGCACACACAUUGAUAUUUAAUUGGCAGGAAGACUGGUUGCACAUAUAUAUGCUCAGUUGGCGCGGCAAUCUAGUCUAGUUGCACACGCAUUAAUGUUUAGUUGGCAGGACACUAGUUGCACACACAUAUGCUCAGUUGGCGUGGCAAUCUAGUCUAGUUACACACACAUUGAUGUUUAGUUGGCAGGAAGACUAGUUCGUCGAAACAUCCCCAUGCGGGAUCUAGUUUCGAAGAGCACGUCGCGAGAAUUCCAGCGGUGAAAACGGAUCUUAAUUCCGAUACGCGGAUUAAAAGUUAUGUUUUUUUAGUUUUUGAAACAACGAAUUAAAUACACCAAAGAAUAAAAUGCAUGCACUGAAGAGAUGGCUGUGCAGACAUUUAAAGACCAGGUGAAAUGUUUUCUUAGUUAGGAUGGUUAAUUAGAAAGGGACAUAAAAUUUCCAGUUUAGGCCGGCCGCGUAGGCUAAGCGAUUUCAACUCAGACUUCAAGUAUAAAUUGAAGAUUUAUUUUAGACUUUUUUUUCUUUUCGUUACAACACACAGGCAUGUUUCAUGUAUCCUAGUAAAUAAAAAAAAACCCAACCGUGCAACAGCUCACCUUAUCCGAUCGCAAGAUUCUGGCCUCGCCAUCCCGGAAUCCACGUAUCAGCAGGCCCCCACCACGUAAAAAGCUCACAAACACUAGAGAAAAACAGCGCAGGAAUUCGCUAACCACACCCNNNNNNNNNNNNNNNNNNNNNNNNNNNNNNNNNNNNNNNNNNNNNNNNNNNNNNNNNNNNNNNNNNNNNNNNNNNNNNNNNNNNNNNNNNNNNNNNNNNNNNNNNNNNNNNNNNNNNNNNNNNNNNNNNNNNNNNNNNNNNNNNNNNNNNNNNNNNNNNNNNNNNNNNNNNNNNNNNNNNNNNNNNNNNNNNNNNNNNNNNNNNNNNNNNNNNNNNNNNNNNNNNNNNNNNNNNNNNNGUCUGGCCUCCUCCGGUGGAGGCGCCUCGCCGCCGCAGCCACGCGCGCCGCCUCCACCCUGACCGCAGCCGAAUGCUCCCCUGCCAUCGCGGCGGUCCCGCCACCGCACCGGCUCCUCCAGGAUCGGCGCAAGUGGGAGGGCCCCUCGUCCUCCUCCGGGGGCGGCUCCUCCUCGUCCUCCUCUAACGACGAGCCGGAGCCGCGGCGUAUCCGCGCGGAGGCCCACUGCCCGCGCUGCUCCAAGCACAUGGACAUCCUCUUCUCCCACCGCGCCCAUCCCCCUUCAGCCCCCGCCGCUGUCGGCGGCUAUCAGACGCUCAACCUCUGUCCCAACUGCCGCACCGCCUACUUCUUCCACCCCAACCACCUCGCGCCACUUCAGGGCACCUUCGUCGAGAUCGGCCGCGUCCGGGCUGACCUGCCCCCGGACGGCGUCAGGGUCAGGGACCCCUCCUCCUGGGAAGCCAUCCGUGCGAGCUCGUCUUCGCGCGACGAUGGGGAUGGUAGUGGCGUGGCCGUGCAUGUGCCGCCCGGGCCACCGUUCCACCCUAGCCUUAACGUCGUCCGCGUAGCCGGAGGCGGUGGCGGGGGAGGAGCUGCUGGCGGUGGGGGCGAGGAGGGAGGAGGGGGAAAGGACGGAUGGGGCGGGUCGAACCUUGGGAAGGAUUUUCCGACACCUAAGGAGAUUUCCAAGGGGCUCGAUAAGUAUGUGAUUGGGCAAGACCGAGCCAAGAAGGUGAGGAUUCUAUACAACUCUUUGCUGUAAUCAUGCUCCCGUUCACCUGUUUUAUUUACUGUUUAUAUCAGAGAUGGCAUUUUGCUGCCGCUUUUGGUCAGCUUGUGGGAAGUAUUGGGUUCUUAAUGCUGAUUCCAAAUGCUAGGUCUUUAAUGCCUAGUCCGUGUGCUCCUCUCAGUGCACUCAGCACAACAGUUUUUGUGCCAGUUGUGCUGUGCUAAAACUUGGGGCAUUGCUCUCGCGUGGGAACACAAUUAUGUUCUUUCCUAUUUUUUUCUUAUUUUGACCCGCGGGAGUUGUAAGAAGCCUACAGAGGGGAGGUUUGUAAUGGCAAAAGCAGUUUGAAAUUUUGAGCUCCAUCAAAUGAUGGCAUGCAAGGAGGGUGUUCUUCCUUUGCACCAAGAUACAUCUGAAUUUACAGAUUUAACCUAUUUUACCCAUUGCAUGAUAAUGAAAGAAAAUUUAGUAACCUUUGUUUCGAUAUACCACUUUUAGAGAAGUUUACGGAUAUGCAGAUCAAUGGUGUGGAAUUGGUACCUUAUACUGAAAGUAAUGAAGGUUAAUCUGGUAAUCUCACCUCUCACACACCAUCUGUUCCGUGGUAGUUCCAAGUAACGAUAAUGAACUAACCCAGCCCUAGUCGUCAGCUUCCCAUGGUCAUCAGCUACAUUCACACGCAGAUACAUUAUUCUAGCUCUAUUGUAAUAGGAUCUCAACAGAUUGUUGUUGAGCAUGUUGUUCCUCCUCGCUCUAUUCUAAUCUCUAUAGACUACCCCAUGAGGAAAAAUACAAAUCAUCAAGUUCAGCUGAAUACUUCUUCUUUCAUGGUAUCAGAGCAAGGAUAAUGCGGUCACCAAGAGCCUAUGUGCGGUCUUCCUAGGCAACACACACGCAGUCUCCUUUCUGUCAUAAACUAUAUACCUCAGCACCCUCAAGGAGAGCCAUGUGGCACACAUACAUGCCUGAGAAAUUCUGCUGCUGUUGCCAUCAUUGAUUGCAUUGUUUACGGUCAAUUAGCGCUGUACAUAAAAUGUGCCCGUUCCCUCUUGCUGGGCAGAUGGAUGCACCCAACUGCACGUUUUACUUCUAAAUACGAGCCAAUGAAUCUGCCCCCAGUCUCUAGCUCACGUUGUCAAGCUCAGCCUGAAGCCCGACAUGUACACCAGAAUUCCGUUCGCCACGUUUUACAACAAUGUAUAGAAGACAGGAAGAGAAAUAUUGACCUGAUUCAGCACAGAUCAAUCUUGGGCAGCUGUUGUUUUUUAUACAGCUUAGUGCCGAUAGGCAUACAAGGAGAUCAAUACAGGUACAAGCAUUGUGUCCAGCUGUACUAUAUAUGGUACCCAAAUCCAAUCUUUACACAAUAGAAUCCUAUUUCGAUUGGCUCAGCUUUGCUGAUUGAGGACUUAUGAUUACCCACCUAUUAGUAUAUUUUUUGCAGGAACACUAUUAGUAUAUCGGAGCUUUUUGGCAAACACAUUGCAUGAGAUGUAAUUCAGCAUAUGAGAGGCCUUUGUCAAGGGGACCCUAUGUCCCCAAUGUUGUUCAUCCUUGUCAUGGACGCUCUCAAUAGCUUGGUUCAAAAGGCCAGGGAUGAUGGCUGCUGCAGCCCCUAUCUAGCCGACCACUUCGUCAUCGUGUUUCUCUUUAUGCUGACGACAUGGUGCUUCUUAUUGUAAUGGUGGCUUCAGAUUCGGAGCUGAUCAAGGAUAUUUUACAUGUGCUUGGGGGGUGCAUAUGGUCUUAAGACGAAUAUUCAGAUGAUUAGUACUAUACCAAUCCAAUGUUCGGUCGACGACUUGGCUGUCGUCCAGGAGCAUUUGCCUUCUGAGGUGAAAGAGUUUCCUUGCAAAUAUAUUGGCCUUUUGUCCAUCAAAAACUUAACAACAAUCCAAAUUCAACCUAUCAUUGAUAGAAUUGCUGAUCAACUCCCGGGAUGGAAGGUUGAAGUCAUGACACGGGCUAGCUGAGCGGGUAAGGUCAUUUUCACAUCUUUGUUUGUGUAUUUGGCUAUGGCCAUGGAUCUUCCAAAUUGGGCUUUGAGGGCAAUUGAUAAAAUCAGAAGGGGCUUCUUGUGGAGAGGAAGGAAGGAGGCAAGAGUUGGUCAUUGUUUGAUUGCAUGGCUGAUGGUUUGCCUUCCAAGGAGCUCGAAAGGUCUGGAUAUUCUUGAUUUAAAACUUGCGGUUGGGCACGGAUGCGACGGCUAUGAGUGCAUAAAACCCAACUAGAUAAACCUUGGGACCAGAUACACUAUACUAGCGGUGGAGAAGAGAGCCUUGAUCCCAAGGUUUAUCUGGGCUCUCUUCUCCACCGCUAUUAUCUCGGUGGUGGGUGAUGGUCGUAACACCCUUUUCUGCAUGGAUGGUUGGAGGGGCAGUCCAUUGUUGAUCUUGCUCUGCACCUUUUUGCCCUUGUCCCUAAAGCAUCGGGGCAUCGGGCUAAUAGCCAUACAGUUCAUGAUGCACUGGUGGGACGUUGUUGGGUGCAGGAUAUUCAAGGUGCUCUCUUGGUGGCUACUUAUCCGAAUAUUUAAAUAUAUGGGAUCUUGUGUCCGAAGUGGAGAUCCAGAAUGACAUUCAAGAUAAGCAUUCUUGGAGAUUUGCUGGAGAUGGUUAGUAUUCGGUGAAAACGGCUCGCAAAGCAUAAGUGUUCUUUAUUGGUUUUAGUUGGUCUGGAACAUUGGAGGUUGAUUUGGAAGCCAUGUGCCCCUAAGAAACGCCAUUUCUUCUUGUGGUUGGUUGCCCAUAAUAAGUGCUGGACAGCUGACCGCCUUUAACGGAGGGGUUCGCCACAUUUCAGAUUGUUGCCCAUUUUGUGAGCAGGAAGAGUAUACGAUUCAUCAUAUCCUUGUCUCUUGUGUGUUUGCAAGAGACUUGAUCCCUCCUGUUCAGACAUCUUGGCCUCCCUGACUUGACGCCCCAAUCACCUUCUCCUCAUUUAUUUGUUUGGUGGCCUAGAACCAUCUCUACGGUGCCAGGUUCUAUGCAGGUUCUAUGCAGGGUGGUUGGAAAUCCUUAAUCACUCUUUGUGCUUGGAUGAUUUAGAAGCAUCGAAAUGACUGUGUCUUCAACGGGAGUUCCCAGUGUCCAAGGGGUGCUACUGGCCAUUAAAGAUGAAGCACAACUUUGGUCCUUAGACUGAUCAUGGGAGAGUCCUGGUUGUGGUCUUGGUUUGAGUGUGGGUCGUCUUUUUCUUGCUUCUAGCGCAUCCGUUUUAGCUGUUUAGUGGGGCUUGUAUGUACAUUUAUUCUAAAUGCAAUGGUACACAACUCUCCUGUGUAUUCGAGAAAAAAAAUCUUAAUGUAGUUGAGAUGAUUCGAUUGGAAAUGGAGUUUGAUCAGUGGGUUUUGAGUGUUGGUUUAGUUUAGUUUUCUCCUGAAGAUAUCUGAUAACACUUGUCUCAUGGCUAGUACUGCUUUUAUUCACACUAGCAAAGGUGAGAUCCAGGUGAUCGCUAGUUAUGGGAGUGCGCUCAAAGGAUAUAAAUAGGGUUUCACAAACAAAAAGGGGAAUAAGUUGUCACUUUCCCCGUCACGUAAAAGAACACCAUGAAACAAUGACAAGAAACCAAACAUAUUGCGUACCCACAGCCCACAAUUGAUCUAAUGCGAAGUCCUUGUAUGCUUUUCUACUAUUUUUAUGCAAAUUCAAAAAGCACCAGUGGUUACUUAACGCUGAGGGCAAACUAUUAACUUAAUGAGAGUGCUCUUAUGUGGAUUCCAGCCAGUGAGCGAUUCAAUCGGGUGUGGAAUGUGCCCAUCGCGGAGCAGGUUGGUAGUAACUGGAUCCCUACCAGGGCGUGGUCUCAGGUUGUAGGGGUGGAAGGAGGGAUGGCGUGGUCGCCGGCGCUGGGGCGCCGUUGUUGCGUGCGUGAGAGAGAGCAGGGGCGGCGGCUAGGGUUAGGUCUCCCGACUCCCUAAGGAAGCCGAGCAAAUAUGAUUGUUUCUUGCUUAAUCCCAAAACGGGUCCUUACACGAGUUUAUAUAAUCCUCCUAAUAAGAUAAUUGGGCUAAGCCCCUAAUAACGAUAAGAUAAUCUGGGCCACAACUAACUGGGCUAAGCCCCUAAUAUGCCAGUCAUAACAUCUCUCCCUGCCUGCACAAACAACUCGUCCUCGAGCUGGAAGGCGGGGAAGAUCAACGGUUGCCAAACACCUCCGCGUCAACUGGGGCGGGCUGGUCGCCGAGCCCGGCGGCGGCGGGGUCCUCCUUAAUGUAAUCUGCAGCCUCCAGGUAGAAGAGUCGUGGGCAGAUGUGGCCCGAUACGUAGGGCUCGUCGCAGUUGAAGCAUAACCCUUGGCGGCGACGCUCGAGUUGCUUGGCCGGGGUGAGCCGGCGAAACGGGCGUGUCGCAGCUGUGGCGAGGGGCGCCGUGGAAGCCUGGGCAGGCCAACCCUACGUGGGAACUUCCGGCCAGGGUGGCGGUCCAGCGGCCCGGGGCGGUGGCGCCUGCUGGAUGGCGACCGCGCGACGCUAGAACGCGCGGGCGUAGUACAUGGCCGUCUAGAGGUCCUGUGGCCUGCGCAUCUCCACGUCCACGCGGAUGUGGUCCGGUAGGCCGUCGACGAAGAGCUCAGCCCGCUGACGAGCCGAAACGCCGGGGGCGUGGCAUGCCAGUGCCUGGAAGCGGUCGGCGAAGUCUUGCACCGUGGUGAGGAACGAAAGACGCCCAAGCUCUGCCAGACGGCUCCCGCGUAUAGGCGGACCGAAGCGCAAGAGGCACAAAUCGCGGAAGCGCUCCCAUGGUGGCAUGCCGCCCUCGUCCUGUUCGAGGGCGUAGUACCACGUCUGCGCGGCUCCUCGGAGAUGAUACGAGGCGAUCCAGGUGCGGUCGGACGCGAGCGUGCGCUGUCUCCUGAAAAAUUGGUCGCAUUGGUUGAGCCAAUUCAAGGGGUCGACGGUGCCGUCAUAGGUCAUGAACUCCAGCUUGGAGAAUCUCGACGGCGUUUGGACGUGGACGACGGGCGGGUGUGCCUCGUCAGCACGGAGCAGCGAGGAUGACGGGGCCGAGAAGGCGGGCAUCAGGGUGCCGCCCUGGAACAGGGGCCCAUCGACGCUGAUGAAGGGCUCGGCGGAGCCCGAGGACCUGCCAAACUGCAUGGCCGGGUGCGUCGCCGGCGGGGGCAGCACGUGCAGCCCGACUGAGGCCGUCGUGUAGACCGGCUCAAGGGACCCAGCGAGCCAGGCCGGUAACGGAGACGACGACGAGGGGAACCGGACCUGGUGGAUGGGCACCCCUGGGCUCAUCGCCGGGAUGUCCAGGGCCGUGGUCGCCGAUGGCGGCGGCUGCAGUUGUUGCUCCUGCUGCAUGGUGGAGGCGCCGGGGUUCGUCGCUGGUGGCGGCUGCCACGACAGCUGCUGCAUGGCGGCGGCGACGGGGGUCGCCGAGGAUGGCGGCUGCCAUGACGGCUUCUGCGGUGGUGGGGCGGUGGCGAAGGGCACAGGCGGCUGCGGCCCAUAGGAUCUCGCGAGGAACGUGUAGAUGCCCGUGACCGCCUGGGUGAGAUCCCGGAUGGCAGCCGUCAUCUCCUUUGGGGUGAAGACGAUGGGGACGGGCGCAGCGGAGGUGACCGGCACCGGCAAGAGCGGGGCGUUGGCCGUGGUGGCCAUCGGGGCGGUCGUCGCGGUCGGCAGCCAGAGGGUCGGGGUGGGCGGCGGUGAGGACAUGAUCGCAUUGAAGCUAUCUGAUACCGAAUUUGUGGUACUGGAUCCUACCAGGGUGUGGUCUCAGGUUGUAGGGGUGGAAGGACGGAUGGCGUGGAGGAAGGCGUGGUCGCCGGCGCUGGGGCGUCGUCGUUGCGUGCGCGCGCGAGAGAGAGCAGGGGCGAUGGCUAGGGUUAGGUCUCUCGGCUCCCUAAGGAAGCCGAGCAAAUAUGAUUGCUUCUUGCUUAGGGCCUCUUUGAUUCACAGGAUUGCAAAAACACUGGAAUAGAAAGAAUACAGGAAAUCUAUAGGGUUGCAGUUGUAAAACAGAGGAUUGAAAAACAGUGAAAGUAUAGGAAUAUGAAACAAAUGGAACGUUUGAAAUGCAGGAACUGAAAUCAAAGGAAUGCAUUAUUUAGUAGAGAAACCAUGCGCUGGUAUGCAACUUUGUCCCUCUUGCCUCGGUCUUUGUGUAAAAAAGAGGUCUGACUCAAUGUUUCACUUCAUGCGAAAUCACAGGAAACCAACAGUGUUUCUCUGGAUUGCAACAGUAUUCCUCCAUACUUGUUCCUGCAAAUCAAACAUCGCUACAGUAGCAAAUCCUAUGGAAUGAGAAUUCCUGCGUUUUUCCUAUGAAAAAUCCUUCAAAUCAAAGGAGGCCUUAAUUCCAAAACGGGUCCUUACACGAGGAUACUAAUAAGAUAAUUGGGCUAAGCCCCUAAUAACGAUAAGAUAAACUGGGCCACAACUAACUGGGCUAAGCCCCUAAUAUGCCGGUCAUAACACAGGUCAUUAGUGCGGUAGGCCUGGAUGAUCUGGAAGCAGAGGAACGCCUGCGUCUUCGACGGCGCUCAGCCCUUCAUUACCGAACUCACGGCUAGAAUUAGAGAGGAAGCGACCCUUUGGGUCAGAGCAGGAGCCACAGGCCUAGGCGUAGUCUUACUGACCACCUGGGACGUCCACUGAUCCUUUUUUGUUUUGAAUUUGUAACCCUCCCUCUCGGAGGCUUGUACUGAUGACCCCUCUCUUUUUUCAAUGCAAUGAAAUGCAAAGUCUUUGCGUUUUCUCGAAAAAAAAGAGGCCUGCGGUGUCUAGAUCCUUGGCAACUUGGUCAAUGUACGCCUGGAGUUGUGAGAUGUGGCUUCAUUUGAGCACAACUUGAGCAAGCCAUUGAGAUGCAGAGCUUGGAGGCGAAAGUAAUGCGGUCCAAACCGGCAAGGAUGCUUUGGUGAUAGGAAGGGUUUAUCCUUUUAGGGAGGCCUUGGCGUUAGUUUCUCUCCUUGUCUGACACCAGUGACAAGGAUUGCUCAUGGAGGCAUGAACUCGGCAUUGACGACCACUUCAUCUUUCUGCGUCCAGUGGCUGCCAAGAGCUUGGUAGUGCUCAUGGAGAAUCGGUCUCUGGCGCUGCUAUGGAUACAGACCCAGGUGGAUUUGCUCAACCACAGGUCUGCCACCUCCAACAGUUUUCUACAGAAGCUGUACGGAAAACUGAUCAAGAACGCUGGUGAUUUCACCUUCAAUCAACCUUGACCUGGGUGCACCUUUCCUUGAUCUGUGCCAUCUAACAAAUCUAGUGCAAGUUCCAAUGUUCCAUACACAAUAUAGUACAGCUAGUGUUGAUGAGAUUUGGCGAUCAACUAUUUGUACUGUCAAGGGUGGUUUUUCUCAAUUGUAAGAUAUAUUAGCCUUGAGUGGCAAAGGUGGCACCUAGAUAUUGAUUUAGUAUAAUCAGCAUGAUAAGCUCAAGUACUCCUGCUUAGUAUUGUGUACUCAACACUCGACACUAACGCUUCCAUAGCUUUGAUUUUCUGAUAUGAUAUUACCAUUUAAAUUUGUAGGUGCUAUCUGUUGCAGUGUACAACCACUAUAAACGUAUAUACCAUCAGUCUCUACAGAAAGGGUCAGUUCCAUUGUACCACCUCAUUUCUUUUUGUUUUGUUUAUGAAAUGAGUAAGAAUAUUUAUUACUGCACCCACAGAAAUUAGAACUCAUGCAUAUCAUUCAGCGACUAAUUAUGUGAUGUAUAAGCUAAAACCAUUAGGUCUGGAGCAGAUUUGGGUUGUUCUGAUGGAGAAGCUGAUGGUGAAGACAAUGUUGAACUAGAGAAAAGCAAUAUACUGUUAAUGGGCCCUACUGGUUCAGGUAGCAUCUGCAACUAUCCUCAGUUGUUGUGAUUGGAAUAAACUGAAUUCUGGUUUCUUCUAUGUUGGACGGACUAUAAUAAAGAGAGAGCGCUCAUCAGUAGUAUUUUGUUUGGAUGCUUCAUAUUUUUCGCAGGUAAAACUUUGCUUGCAAAGACAUUAGCUCGGUUUGUGAAUGUGCCAUUUGUAAUUGCUGAUGCAACAACAUUGACCCAGGCAAGUGGUUCACUAUUCACUAAUGUUUACAUUCUGGAGGAUAUUUUAAGUGCAUAAUAAUGUAUAGUACUGAAACUGCACCUCAUAUAGUCGGUUUUAGUUCUACUAAGCCUAAAACCUAUUGAUUCCAAAGUUUGUCUCCAUAGCUCUAACUUUCUAUUAACCCCUGUCUGACCAUCAUCGACUAGCACCACAUCAUCCUCAAAGAGCAUACACCAUGGGAUAUCUCCUUGUAUAUCUUUGUUGACCUCAUCCACCACCAAGGCAAAAACAUAAGGUCUCAAAGUUGACCAUUGGUGCAGUCCUAUCUUAAUCGAAAACUCAUCGGUGUUGCCAUCACUUGUUUGAACACUUUUCACAACAUUAUCAUACAUGUCCUUGAUGAGGGUAUGUACUUUGUUGGGAUUUGUGUUUCUACAGGGCCCACAACAUGACAUUUCGCAGUAUCUUAUCGUAGGCCUUCUCCAAGUCAACGAACACUAUACACAGGUCCUUCUUUUGCUCCCUAUAUCUCUCCCUAAGUUGUCUUACCAAGGAAAUGGUUUCCAUGGUCAACCUCCCGGCAUGAAACCAAACUGAUUUUUGGUACGCUUGGCAUUCCUCUUAAGCGGUGCUCAAUGACUCUUCUCCCAUAUCUUCAUUAUGGCUCAUCAGCUUAAUUUCAUGGUGAUUAGUAUAACUUUGAACAUCCUCCUUGUUCUUGAAGAUCAGUACUAAUAUACUCCACCUUCAUUCUUCUAGCAUCUUGUUUGCCUGAAAAAUGAGGUUGAAAAGAUUAGUUAGCCAUACUAUCGCUAUGUCUCCAAGGCCUCUCCACAUCUCAAUGGGGAUACAAUCAGGGCCCAUCGCCUUGCCUCCUCUCAUCCUUUUUAAAGCCUCCCUGACCUCAAACUCUUGGAUUCACUUCUGAAUUCGUCGCACAAAACGCCUGCUGGUAUCAUCAAAGGAGUCGUCCAGCUCAAUGGUAGAGCUCUCAUUCUCUCAAUUGAACAUCUUGUCGAAGUACUCCCGCCAUCUAUGCUUGAUCUCCUCGUCCUUCACCAUGAGCCAACCUGCUCCGUCCUUGAUGCAUUUCACUUGGUUGACAUCCCUCAUCUUCCUCUCUCGGAUCUUGGCCAUCUUAUAGAUGUCCUUUUCGCCUUCCUUUGUGUCUAAGUGCUGGUAGAGGUCCUGAUGGGGAACAACAGAGGAGGAAAAAAAUCAUAUGUCAAAUCUGUUUGGCUACUUCUAGAUAUUUCUACUCUAGUCUAGUUUUUUUUUUCUUUUCUUAACCCUAGCUACUGUUUUCUAGUCUUCUAGCUAUGAGGAGAAUGGUGAAUCUUGUAAUGUUUUCUAGAGUGUUCUAGCUAUAAGUAGAAGUGAGAUGUCAGGGCUUCCCAAAGCCCUAUAAACAGAGGUCCUCACCUCUAGUUUGUAACCAGACUAUGUACCCCACUACCUAUAACAGAACUGGGUGUUCUUAUCUAGAUCUUGGACUAGAUCUUGUGCUCUAGGAGUUUCGGAUUGAACUCCUGCUGCCAUAUUGUCCUAUAUUCUCCUCUAGAGCAAUAUGUAGCGCAACACGUUGAAGUAGUUCGUUCAACACUAGUGCUGUUCACUUUGUAGCAGCAAGUGGAGUUGCUCCUCACAACCUUGUGCUGCUUCAGGUUCUCAUACGCCCGAUCCCUUGCUUCACUCACUGCUCGCUUUGCAGCCUUCUUUGCCGCCUUGUACUUCUCUGUUGUCUGCACUCCUAUCCAGGUGUAGGCAUCUGAAACAGUCUUUCUUCUCCUUAAUAGCCUUCCACCGCCAGGUACCUUUAGCUUCGCUUCUACUUCCUCUGGUCACCCCAAACUCCUUUGAAGCCACCUUACGAAUGCAAGUCGCCAUCUACAUCACCUCCUUCCUCCCAAGGGCCCUCCUUAAUAACCCUCUCAAAAGCCUGAGCCGCCUCCCCCUUGAGCUUCCACCACUUAGUUCUAGCGGCUUGGGGCGCUUAUCCUGCUACACGAAUCCAAAAGCGGAAGUCAGCCACCUAAAGCUUAUGUGAGGGACAACACUCUCUUCAGGUAUCACCUUAAAAUCUAGUAAAGCAUGCAUGCCUUCUCUUCUCGAGAGGACGAAAUCAAUCUGGCUAGAGUGUUCACCACCACUAAAAGUCACUAGAUGGGAUUAUCUCUUUUUUAAGAGGGUGUUAGCUACAAUCAUGUCGUAGGCUAGAGCGAAGCUUAAGACAUCUUCUUCUUGAUUCCUGAUGCCAUAGCCAAAGCCCCCCUACACCCCUUCAAAACCUGUGUUAGAUGUACCCAUGUGGCCAUUUAGGGCUCCUCCUAUGAAGGGCUUCUCACUAAUAGGUACACUCCUAACCAUGACGUCUACUACUCUCUUGUUGAUCAAGAUGCCUACUUCAUUUCUUUGUGAGCGAUUCAACUAAUAAAAAAUGAUUAACUGCCGUCACCUGAUUCCUUUAGGCAUAUUUUUAAGUGAAUCUCUCUCUCUCUCUCUCUCUCUCUCCUUUGUUCAGACACUAAGGCUUUAUUUUUCAACUUCCUGCAGGCAGGGUAUGUAGGAGAAGAUGUAGAAUCUAUAUUGUACAAGUUACUUACGGUAUGGUUUUUGAUUGCACAUAUAUUUAAACAAAUAGGAGCUACUAGUUGACUUCUCACUAUGAGUCCUUGAAAGUGAACUCUGGGUCUUAUAUUUGAACAUUAACUAGGUGGCAGAUUUUAAUGUGCAAGCAGCACAACAAGGGAUGGUGUACAUUGAUGAAGUUGAUAAGAUCACUAAGAAGGUCUGUCCAAAUUAACUUCUGUUGAACAUUUUUCCUUGGUAUGGGAAUCGUUAAUCAGUUGGGUGCAUUCAACAUGCAGGCUGAGAGCCUUAACAUCAGUAGAGAUGUAUCAGGCGAAGGUGUUCAGCAGGCUUUGUUGAAAAUGCUCGAAGGCACGGUGAGUCAUCUUCAUUGACCUUCCGAUGAAGCAGCAUGUUUAUAAAUUGUAAGUUCGAACGUUUGCAAGCAGAUAUUGGCUGCCACUAGGAUUAAAAUGUAUAUCAUUCGUAGAUUAAUACUCCCUCCGUUCCUAAAUAUAAGUCUUUUUAGAGAUUCCAAUGCGGACUACAUAUGGAGCAAAAUGAGUGAAUCUACACUCUAAAAUAUGUCUAUAUACAUCCGCAGUCCUUACUGAAAUCUCUAAAAAGACUGAAAUUUGUAGUGGUGGCUGAAUGCUAUACCUAGUUCUAUUCAUGCAUUUUCUUUCUUUUGUGCUGUGUAUUGUGAGCUUGCAUUUUGGAGCUUUUAUAGUGAUGUCAUUAUUGGAUUUGCAAAUGUAUUGGUUUGAGGCAUCAUAGUUUUGUUUUACAUUAAUCCUACUAUGCACUAAAAAGUAACUCAUUUGCUUCAUUGAUAUCGUGCGAUCUUUCUGGGGUACUAUGAUUCUUGGUAAAAGAUAAGAUCAUUUCUUGAUAAUUGUCUCUACAUAUGGAUGCCUUUUAAUAUAUUUUUCUAAUGUGGUCAUGUUUAGAUAGUCAAUGUCCCUGAGAAAGGAGCAAGGAAGCAUCCUCGUGGCGAUAAUAUACAGGUACCGUCAGCACAAUUUGUAUAUGACAUUCUUCCCAAAGAAAGUGUGCAUGGUAUACAUUUUGCCUGAAGAACUACAGUAUCACACCGCCAGUACCUGUGUCCUGAAUGGUAGCAAAAAUAGAGAAAAAUAUGGAAUUAUGUGACCUUAUCAUCAUACUAGUCCUUCGUAGAAAAGAGAACUUAUUUAUUAUGAAUGCAUACCGUGCUGCUUUAUACAUGUAUCGUAUUGUUUCUUUACACCCAGUGGCGGUGCCAGGAGGCAGGAGCUAGGACAUGUGGUGUUAGUAACUUCUAGAGAUUAAUGCUAUUUGUAAUACUAUGUUUAUUUGGAUUUUUGUUUGGGGCGUAACCCUCUCAGCGACGCUCCACAUCAUAACCCGGGUGUGGUGGAAAAUGGGCAAGGGCCGGGCCGUCACCUCCCUGGCGGCGCGCCGUAUCUUGAUCCGGAUACGGUGGCAAGUGAGCGAGGAUCGGGUCGUCGCAUCCUUAGUGGCGCGCUACAUUGGCGCCCAGAUGUAGUGGAAAAUGAGCAAGGGUCUUCGCAUUUGACUCGAUGAGUGCGAAGGGUAAGGAAGCUAACCGAGCCUAGGAGGAUUCGCUUAGGUAGUUGGAACGUAGGAUCUCUGACAGGGAAGCUUCGAGAGCUAGUUGAUGCAGCGGUGAGGAGAGGUGUUGAUAUCCUUUGCGUCCAAGAAACCAAAUGGAGGGGACAGAAGGCGAAGGAGGUGGAGGAUACCGGCUUCAAGCUGGAAACAGAAAUGGCGUAGGCAUCUUGAUCAACAAGAGCCUCAAGUAUGGAGCGGUAGACAUCAAGAGACGGAUUAUCCUGGUCAGGCUGGUAGUUGGGGACUUAGUUCUCAAUGUUAUCAACGCGUAUGCCCCGCAAGUAGGCCACAAUGAGAACACCAAGAGGGAGUUCUGGGAAGGCCUGGAAGACAUGGUUAGGAGUGUACCGAUUGGCGAGAAGCUCUUCAUAGGAGGAGACCUCAAUGGCCACGUGGGUACAUCUAACACAGGUUUUGAAUGGGCGCAUGGGGGCUUUGGUUAUGGCAUCAGGAAUCAAGAAGGCGAAGAUGUCUUAAGCUUUCCUCUAGCCUACGACAUGAUUGUAGCUAACACCCUCUUUAGAAAGAGAGAAUCACAUCUGGUGACUUUUAGUAGUGGCCAACACUCUAGCCAGAUUGAUUUCAUCCUCUCGAGAAGAGAAGAUAGGCAUGCGUGCCUAGACUGUAAGGUGAUACCUGGAGAGUGUUGUACCUCAGCAUAAGCUGGUGGUUGCUGACUUCCGCUUUCGGAUUCGUGUCCAGCGGCAUAAACGUGCCAAAGUCGCUAGAACAAAGUGGUGGAAGCUCAAGGGGUAGGUAGCUCAGGCGUUCAAGGAGAGGGUCAUUAAGGGGGCCUUGGGAGGAAGGAGGGGACGCGGACAAUGUGUGGAUGAAGAUGGCGACUGGCAUUCGCAGGGUGGCCUCGGAGGAGUUUGGAGUGUCCAAGGGAAGGAGAAGCAGAGAUAAGGAUACCUGGUGAUGGAAUGAUGUUGUCCAGAAGGCGAUUAAAGAGAAGAAAGAUUGCUUCAGACGCCUACACCUGGAUAGGAGUGCGGACAACAUAGAGAAGUACAAGAUGGCGAAGAAGGCCGCAAAGCGAGCUGUCAGUGAAGCGAGCGGUCAGGCAUAUGAGGACCUCUACCAACGGUUAGGCACGAAGGAAGGCGAAAGGGACAUCUAUAAGAUGGCCAAGAUCCGAGAGAGGAAGACGAGGGAUAUUGGCCAAGUCAAAUAAAUCAAGGACGGAGCAGACCAACUCUUGGUGAAGGACGAGGAGAUUAAGCAUAGACGGCGGGAGAACUUCGACAAGCUGUUCAAUGGAGAGAAUGAGAGUUCUACCAUUGAACUGGACGACUCCUUUAAUGAGACCAGCAUGCGUUUUGUGCGGUGAAUCCAGGAGUCUGAGGUCAAGGAGGCUUUAAAAAGGAUGAAAGGAGGCAAGGCGAUGGGCCCUGAUUGCAUCCCCAUUGAGGUGUGGAAAGGCCUCGGGGACAUAGCAAUAGUAUGGCUAACCAAGCUUUUCAACCUCAUUUUUCAGGCAAACAAGAUGCCAGAAGAAUGGAGACGGAGUAUAUUAGUACCAAUCUUCAAGAACAAGGGGGAUGUUCAGAGUUGUACUAAUUACCGGGGAAUUAAGCUGAUGAGCCAUACAAUGAAGCUAUGGGAGAGAGUCAUUGAGCUCUUAUGGAGAGAUACAGGGAGCAAAAGGACUUGCAUAUGGUGUUCAUUGACUUGGAGAAGGCCUAUGAUAAGAUACCGCGGAAUGUCAUGUAGUGGGCCUUGGAGAAACACAAAGUCCCAGCAAAGUACAUUACCCUCAUCAAGGACAUGUAUGAUAAUGUUGUGACAAGUGUUCGAACAAGUGAUGUCGACACUGAUGACUUCCCGAUUAAGAUAGGACUGCACCAGGGGUCAGCUUCAAGCCCUUAUCUUUUUGCCUUGGUGAUGGAUGAGGUCACAAGGGAUAUGCAAGGAGAUAUCCCAUGGUGUAUGCUCUUUGCGGAUGAUGUGGUGCUAGUUGACGAUAGUCGGACGGGGGUAGAUAGGAAGUUAGAGUUAUGGAGACAAACCUUGGAAUCGAAAGGGUAUAGGCUUAGUAGGACUAAAACCGAGUACAUGAUGUGCGGUUUUAGUACUAGGUGUGAGGAGGAGGAGGUUAGCCUUGGUAAGCAGGUGGUACCUUAGAAGGACACCUUUCGAUAUUUGGGGUCAAUGCUGCAGGAGGAUGGGGGUAUUGAUGAAGAUGUGAACCAUCAAAUCAAAGUCGGAUGGAUGAAGUGGCGCCAAGCUUCUGGCAUUCUCUGUGACAAGAGAGUGCCACAAAAGCUAAAAGGCAAGUUCUAUAGGACGGCUGUUCGACCCGCAAUGUUGUAUGGCGUUGAGUGUUGGCCGACUAAAAGGCGACAUGUUCAAACAAUUAGGUGUGGCGGAGAUGCGUAUGUUGAGAUGGAUGUGUGGCCACACGAGAAAGGAUAGAGUCCGGAAUGAUGAUAUACAAGAUAGAGUUGGGGUAGCACCAAUUUAAGAGAAGCUUGUCCAACAUCGUCUGAGAUGGUUUGGGCAUAUUCAGCGCAGGCCUCCAGAAGCUCCAGUGCAUAGUGGACGUCUAAAGCGUGCGGAGAUGUCAAGAGAGGUCGGGGUAGACCGAAUUUGACAUGGGAGGAGUCCGUUAAGAGGGACCUGAAGGAUUGGAGUAUCACCAGAGAACUAGCUAUGGACAGGGGUGCGUGGAAGCUUGCUAUCCAUGUGCCAUAGCCAUGAGUUGGUCGCGAGAUCUUAUGUGAUUCACCUCUAGCCUACCCCAACUUGUUUGGGACUAAAGGCUUUGUUGUUGUUUGUUUGUUUGUUGUAAUACUAUGUUUGUACGAAAUCUGUGUGGUUGGAACCCCACAGCUUGCUCCAAGUGCCACCACUUUUUGCACCACAAAUGUCAUAUUAACUUCAUUUUUCUAAUUGCCUUCUAGUACCAUCUAAACCAUGAUCCACUUUUCAAGGCCUUCCUUGUUUAAGGUAAUGUAAUCAUGGCUGAGCUUUAAUUCUCUAUUCUGCAUGCCAUACAGAUAGAUACGAAGGAUAUUCUGUUUAUAUGUGGGGGUGCUUUUAUUGACUUGGAGAAAACUAUAUCAGAGAGGUACCAUUGUUUUUACCUGUUUCAAAGUUGCUAUCUCUGGUGUUUCCUGUCAGUCUUCAUCUAAGGGGCAUCCCACCCCCUUUUUGUGUAAAUAGGCGGCAGGAUUCUUCUAUUGGAUUUGGGGCACCUGUCCGUGCAAGCAUGAGGACUAGUGGUAUUUCAAGUGCUCAAGUGACAUCGUCCUUGUUAGAAUCAGUGAGUACCAGAGUCCAGGAGCCAGCUAUUUUUGGAAGCUUUGUUUCAGGGAGAAUGUGAAUGCAUUUGCUCUGUAAAAGCUAAAGUGUUUUUUAUUUGGUUUUGUUUUCAGGUUGAGAGCAGUGAUCUUAUAGCAUAUGGACUCAUUCCGGAGUUCAUUGGACGUUUUCCUAUCCUUGUCAGCUUGGCAGCACUAAAUGAGGACCAACUUGUUCAGGUAGAUCUGUAGGAGGAAAAAUAUCCUAUUAGGUGGAAAACAUAUUUCUAUAUGAUUGUUAUUGAACUUAUAAUUGAUGGCUAAUACAAUAAAUGUACUGCUAGGUUCUCACCGAGCCAAAGAAUGCUCUAGGUAAACAAUUCAAGAAGUUGUUCAGCAUGAAUAAUGUGAGUAUAUUUUCAUUGGAAACAUGCAAGUGUUAUCUGGCGCUUCUCACACUGUUGGCUUUCAGGUUAAGCUUCACUUCACGGAUGCUGCACUAAGAAUAAUUGCCCAGAAGGCAAUGUGCAAAAAUACAGGUGCACGGGGCUUAAGGACUAUCCUUGAGAAUAUUCUCAUGGAUUCCAUGUAUGAGGUUCGUCCGAUAGCAACUUUGUAUUCCUUUUCCUUGAACUUACACACAAACUCAAUGGAGCUGGCAUUCAUACCAUAUAUUCAUGAAUUUGUGACUGCCUUGCAGAUUCCAGAUACAAAAUCUGGAGAGAAGCGAAUUGACGCAGUGGUUGUAGAUGAAGGUGCAGUAGGAUUGGUGGACCGACCUGGCUGUGGAGCUAAGAUCCUUUACGGCGAUGGUGCAUUUGAUCGUUAUCUAUCCCAGAUAAAGGUGGGAAUUGCCAACCUCAAUCAGCUUGCCUUGUGAUAUUGGUAAUAUCAAUCAUUUGCUGCGAGUAAUAUUUCAUGGACUAAAAAUGCUGCAGGCAAUGGGAGACGGAGCAGGAAGCGAAGUGGAUGGGGAUCCUGACCUUUCUUCGUCAAGAGCCAUGAGCAUGUGAUUUCAUGGUUCCUCUAGCUCUACUGUACACUGUAAAAAUCUGAUCCUAGCUGUAUUAAUGUAAAGAAAAAAAAACACAUGUGCAGUACCCAUUGCUAAUUCAAACCCCAGCUGUCUGGCCGUCCUCACGCCUUGCAUAAUCUGUAGCAGGACUGGGAAGUGUAUAGUGGAGCAAGUUGGGUGUCGACGUGUGUGUGAAGGUGAGAGACUUUUUAUGUGAAGAACUGUAAUGCUUGCCAGAUGUUGUAAAACUUCAAACACUGAGAUGAAGGGGUUGAAAUUUAGCAUGGAGAUACGAAAUUAUGUUAUCAGCUCCUUGCCCGAAUUGUGCUGUGUGGUGUACCAGCCUUGCUUGGUAGAAAGACGAAAGAGAUCCGAAUGCUUUAGGGACUUGGGAGUUUCUGCUGCAGUGCUCAAUGCACUCUCGUGGUCUAGAAAAAUACUACCUCUGUCCCAUAAUAUAAGACGUUCUUUGCAGUUUGAAACUGCAAAAAUGUCUUAUAUUUUGGGAAACAUUGUUGUAUGUCUGUACGUUUUCUGUGAAUAAAAAGAAUUUCUAAGGGCGUG